rnacentral:rRNA from 1 species
GAAAAUUGGUGUAGGAUCGACUAUGUCGUGUAAAGUUCUAGUUAGACUAUGAUAAUGACAUCUUCUGGCUAUGUGUCUUGACCAAAUUACGUGCCAGCUGUCGCGGUAAUACGUAGAAGACUAGUGUUAUUCAUAUUUAAUCGGUUUAAAGGGUACCUAGACGGCAGAAAAAGCCUUCAGUAAAUAAAUAAAGGGACUAAUCUAGCUAGAGUUACUUAUGAGGAAGCCAUUAAGUACUGCUGGUGUAGAGAUGAAAUUCUGUCAUACCUCUUCUCGCGAUGGGAAACGACGGCACAGGUAAAGGCGAAGGCGUCUUCUUAUGGGAUAACUGACGUUGAGGGACGAAGGCUGUAUGUAGCAAACAGGAUUAGUUACCCUAAUAACCCAGGCAGAAAAUGAUGAAUGUCAUAGGUUAGGGCCUCUUAUCCUAUAAAUGAAAGUGUAAGCAUUCCACCUCAAGAGUAAUUUGGCAACAUUGGAACUGAAAUCAUUAGACCGUUUCUGAAAACAGUAGUGAGGUAUGUUGUUUAAUUUGAUGAUCCACAAAGAACCUUACCACAAUUUGAAUAUUUAGAGCUUCUCACCUCGCCUCUGCCUUGCAAGAAGCUUAUAACCUCUAUUUGCAUUUAGCAUAGCUACAGGUGAGGCUGAUGCUUUAUCUACCAGCGUUGCACGGCUGUCUUCAGUUAAUGUCGCGAGACUGGGGUUAGUUCCCUUAAAUUAACGUAAACCCUUGUCCUAGUUUGAAUAUAGGACAG